rnacentral:rRNA from 1 species
CCGUAGCCCAAGAGAUCGGGAUAACACCUGGAAACAGAUGCUAAUACCGGAUAAUAACAGAUGAUGCCUAUCAACUGUUUAAAAGAUGGUUCUGCUAUCACUCUUGGAUGGACCUGCGGUGCAUUAGCUAGUUGGUAGGGUAACGGCCUACCAAGGCGAUGAUGCAUAGCCGAGUUGAGAGACUGAUCGGCCACAUUGGGACUGAGACACGGCCCAAACUCCUACGGGAGGCAGCAGGC